GGGGGCAUGGGAGGAGGUUACAGCCUCGCUCUCAGAUAGAGGGCAACGGCCACGCCUUCCCUCCCAUCCAGCGCUGCCUCGUGAUUGGCUAUUCCUCAGCGGCGGGCGGGACGCCGGAGCCCUUGGGUGGAGAGACAUACGCAAAUGAAGGAGGGCGGAAAGGUGGAGCGGUCGGGAAGGAAAGGGAGAGUGGAAGGCCUGGCGCGCGCUCGCGGAGCUUUCGAUUCUCCGCGCCAGGGGGAACCACGCACCCUUCUCCCCAACCAGAUGGGGCCCCAGUAGUCAUUUCAAGAGCAGAGGUGGCACAGAUGGCUCUCGACGUGGACCAAAAAGCGGGGUUCCCUCGUUUACGCGCGGCAGAAGAAUAUUCAGCGAUCCCCAUGUUUCUUUGAUGGGUUUCUGUCCCCCCCUCCAUAGAGGAGGCAAAUGAUCUGGGCGGAGUCGGGAGCGCCUGCGUCUGUUGCCUUUCCUGCGACUGCGAAAGGCCGUUCAGAAAACGGCGGUGAGCUCUGAACAGACCAACUGACAAGAUGAAAUUUUAAAACAAUACAGUAGUUUUUCUAUUUUAUAAUAUAGAAUUAAUUAAAAAAAAAACCUAAAUCAGUUAAAAUAACUAGAGUUUUAAACAAUCCAAUUUAUAAAAUAAAGAUGGACCUUCAUUCCUUUGAAAGCACCUGGAA